AGGUAUCUAGUAGAUAUUUCAAAUAACAGAUACAUUUUUUGUAAUCAAACACAUGAUACAACAGAGAGUUUCGGAGAAUAAUCAGUUAAUCGUUCAAUUUAAUCCUUAAGAAUUCUCAAAAAUAUUAUAUAAAGCAGAAUGAUUGAACCAGAAGACGAAUUAGAUCAGGAUAUUCCAAUGAGAGAAAUGAUUUCGAAACUUCAGGCGAUUCCAGAACCCAGAUUCGCUAUGCCAUUCCAAAACCUAAUAGAACCGACGAGGCCAGAUCGCUUCACUCCUGCGGAUGUACCAGCCUACAGUGAAGAAUUUCUUUUUGUUUUCGAUGUGAUAUAUAUGUGUGUAGGUCUGUUUAUGACGACAAUUUUUACAGAAUGUAUAAAUCUUUUCUUUCGUAUCAGUUUCAUUUCAAUAUAUUUUUUCUCGAAACUCGAAUCCGUAACAUUAUGUUGGAAUGCACUAAAAAUUAGUUUUUUAGCUGUAGUUAUUGUACUUUUUUAUUAUUUGAUCAAAAUAGCAUUAAUUCUCUUCUGCUUAACCCAUUAUGGAUAUAUCUUGUGGGUAUAUAAAGUAUAUAUUGAUAGAAUAAGGCAUAUGCGAGGGCAUACUCUAAGAUAUUUUCGAAGGCAUAAUUAGUCCCAUUGUAAAAUCAAUAUUGAAUACUACUGUUUUUAAACUCAUUUACGACUCGUACUCUUUCAUCAACACAUAGUGUAUGACUUGAGAAGGUAUAAUAUCAUGAAAGAAUGUGCUUACAUUAUGAGGAUGAUAGUUCUCGAAUGUUGCGAGAAUAUUUCCUAUAGAAACAUCGUAUUUUUUCAUAAUAUUAGUUAUUGAACUGUGAGAACUUUUAUAAUAAAUAUUGAAAGAAU